CACAUGGUUCCAUAUCACCAGUAACGUAAAGAAAAUUCUGGAUGCUAAUCUCUUUUUUUUUUCGAGCACCAUGGUUCGAACUGACAAUGGAAGUAGUUUACUAGUCCCUUCCAAGAGGGAGGAUGCCACUGUAUAUCGAUGCUGAGUGCCCAUGUGGCCUACUUGACCGAAUGCCGAGACCUUAGAGGCCGGCAGGCAGGCAGGCUACUGAUCCUCUGGGGUGCUG